AAAUGAGCUGCCUCUAGGUAGGAGGCUAAUUUCAUCUGUAAAAAAAAAAGAACCUACGGCACCUCCUACAGUUGCUGGUAGACAAAGGGCGCCGCUUUAAUACAGUGCCUAACUCAAGAAGAUAACCAAAUAUUUGUUGGAUGGCAAUUCAAUGAGUGAGAAGUGUUGGGGAAAAAAAAAGGUCUCCCAGGAAGACUGAAAAUCUGCUAAAUUUACUGGCAUAUUUGGAUGAAAGAGAUGAAAACUUCCUAGUGUAGAAUCUGGAUAAAGAAAUAAUAAAUAGUGUAUUUUUCUGAGGA